AUAUUUCCUUCCUAGUCCAAGCUACUUUCUCUGUCAUCAAACCUGAGCUUACAGCAACCCAAACCUCCUGUUCCCUGCCUGGCAGUUUCUGGGAUGGGCACCAGGAAUGCAUUUUACUUCACUGUCAGUGGCACUGCAGACAUGUGUUGAUGCAAGAGUCCUUUGAAAUAACACACAGACCACACUGACUCUUGAAAAUGGCCUGUAAGCUGCUGUCUGUAUUUAGAGAAGCAAAAUGUGCUAUUUCUGAUGGAGGUUCCCACUAACAAACUCAGCCAAUGAAAUUGGCUCUCAAAGCAAGAUCAUCUGGAUGUUGCAAUGGCUGUGGCUGCACCAGGGUUUGGGGUUUUUGGUCGGCAUAGAAAAAUGAGCCGUGAGCAGCAUCUCUGCCAGGGAGGAAACUGCCCCUGGAGCUGGGGCUGAGAACCCGGGCUCGCUGUGAGCAUUUGUGGCUGUGAAGGGAGCUGGCAGAGCGCUGCGUUUGCUUUUUCCUGCAGGCUCGCACCCCUGAUCCGGCAGAACGGGACCCCGCAGCUGCAGGAGCCCCGGCGCCUGUCGGCUCUGCUGCGGGACUUCCUCGAGUGCAGCCUGGAGCCGGACGAGGAGCGGCGCUGGUCAGCCCAGGAGCUGCUGCAGCACCCAUUUCUAUCAUCAGCCAAGCCUCUCUCCAGCCUGACCCCUCUGAUCGCUGCAGCAAAGGAACCGCGGGUGCAGCGGAGGAGAUGAAGCACUUGAGAACACCUUUUUGUUACAGGAGUUAGGACAAGUUAGUCAUGGUAGUUAGCACUGCUAGUUAGUGAGGGUCAUUAGGACAGCCUGUUUGUUAUGGCAGUUUUUGAAUAAAACUCUGUUAAACCUCA